CAGUAGCCACGGUAAUACGUAGGGUGCAAGCGUUAAUCGGAAUUACUGGGCGUAAAGCGUGCGCAGGCGGUUUGUUAAGACAGAUGUGAAAUCCCCGGGCUCAACCUGGGAACUGCAUUUGUGACUGGCAAGCUAGAGUGUGGCAGAGGGGGGUGGAACUCCGCGUGUAGCAGUGAAAUGCGUAGAUAUGCGGAGGAACACCGAUGGCGAAGGCAGCCCCCUGGGCCAACACUGUCGCUCAUGCACGAAAGCGUGGGGAGCAAACAGGAUUAGAUACCCCGGUAGUCCCUGUCUCUUAUAA
rnacentral:rRNA from 1 species